CAAACAAUGAUCUAUUUAUACAGCCCUAAUUAUUCUUACUUAUGUGAUAAAUAAAGGUUGUGGUAAGCCCAGAAUGAAGUAAAAAAUCUAAGAAUCUUUUCAAAACAUUGAUCUACUAUCAGAACAGAGAAAGUAGAUUUACCAGUUUCAGCACAUUUGAAGGAGGCAGGACUUCAAGUUUUACAAUUCAGAUUCCACGUUAUUGAUAGUGCACCCAAAUUGAGAUGAGGGGGUAGUGGGUGCAGACUAUUAAAAGAAAGGGAGCCAAUUGUCUUGCAUUUAGUAUAUUGGAACCUCUAGGCAUUUUUUUGCAAUUUUUUUUCCCCAACUCCAUCUUUGUUCAGCUUACAUACAAGGGAUUAGAGUAAAAACAGAACGUUAACUGCGCUCUGGCCUAAAUCCCCAUGUACAUUUAAACAAAAUG